rnacentral:rRNA from 1 species
UACAGAGGGUGCAAGCGUUAAUCGGAAUUACUGGGCGUAAAGCGCGCGUAGGUGGUUCGUUAAGUUGGAUGUGAAAUCCCCGGGCUCAACCUGGGAACUGCAUCCAAAACUGGCGAGCUAGAGUAUGGUAGAGGGUGGUGGAAUUUCCUGUGUAGCGGUGAAAUGCGUAGAUAUAGGAAGGAACACCAGUGGCGGAGGCGACCACCUGGACUGAUACUGACACUGAGGUGCGAAAGCGUGGGGAGCAAACAGG